rnacentral:lncRNA from 1 species
GGGGCCGGGCCUGGGGUGGGGGGGUGGCUUGCAGCGGCUGCCGGGCUGGGCCCAGACACCUGGGCCCCGCGGGGAGCCGGCCCGGCCCGCCCUGCCUCAGUUUCCCCACACAGGCAGCCCCAGCCCCACAGAGGGCUUGGGGGGGGUUAGCACCGUUUUGGGGUGUUUCCCACCCCUCCUCAGCCCCUGCAGCGACGGGGUCUGUCCUUGCCUCUUUCUCCCUUUCUUUCCUUGUGUUUUCCUCUCCUUUUCCUCUCCCCAGUCCUCUCUUCCUCCCUUUUGCCUUUUUAUUUCUCUCCUUUUCAGCACGUCUCCCUUCUCGUCCCUUUCUUUUCCUUUUCCCUUGCCUCCAUCCCUCCUAGGCUGUCCUGCCUUUUUCUCUUCCUCCUUCCCUCCCUCUGCCUUCCUCCUCCAUCUCCUCUUCUCUCUAGUCCAUUUACUUUCCCUUCCUUUUUCCUCCCUUCUUUUUCCUUCCCUUUUUCUUUUCCUUUUCCUUAUUGCUUCUUCUCUCUUGCCUCCUUUUCAUCUUUGCUCUCCUCUUUUCUCCCAUCCAGCCACUUUCUUUUCUCCCCCUUUCUUCCCUUUUCUUCCUUCUUUCCCUUCUCUCCUCCCUCCUUCUUCCAUCCCCUCGAUUUAGUCUUUCCUUCAUCUUUGAUCUUUGCCCUUUGUGUCCUCUUCUCUUCUCUUCUCUUCUCUUCUCUUCUCUUCUCUUCUCUUCUCUUCUCUUCUCUUCUCUUCUCUUCUCUUCUCCUCCCUUCCCUUUUCCAUCCUUUUUUCUUUUCCUCUUCCUGUCUUUUCCUUUCCAUUUCCUUCCUUUCCUUUCCUUUUUCAAAAAAAAAUUUCCCUUUCACUUCUUCCCUUUCCCUUUCCCCUUUCCUCCACUUUUUUGUCUUUUCAUUUUCUUUUUCUUGUUCUUUUUCUUGUUCCUUUUGCUUUUCUCUUUCUCCUUUCAUCUUUUUCUCUUUUCCCUUUUCCUUUUCCCUUUCCUCCUUCUUCUUCCCCUUUUUUCUUUUUUUUUUUUUGCUUUUCCUUCUUUUUCCCUUUCCUUUCUUUUUCCUUUUCUUUCCCCCCACUUUCCC